rnacentral:rRNA from 1 species
AACGAACGCUGGCGGCAUGCCUAACACAUGCAAGUCGAACGAGACCUUCGGGUCUAGUUGCGCACGGGUGCGUAACGCGUGGGAACCUGCCCUUAGGUUCGCAAUAACUCCCCGAAAGGUGUGCUAAUACCGGAUAAUGUCUUCGGACCAAAGAUUUAUCGCCGUUGGAUGGGCCCGCGUUGGAUUAGCUAGUUGGUAGGGUAAAAGCCUACCAAGGCGACGAUCCAUAGCUGGUCUGAGAGGAUGAUCAGCCACACUGGGACUGAGACACGGCCCAGACUCCUACGGAAGGGAGGAGAGGGGAAUAUUGGACAAGGGGCGAAAGCCUGAUCCAGCAAGGCCGGGUGAGUGAUGAAGGCCGUAGGGUUCUAAAGCUCUUUUAACCGGGAUGAUAAUGACAGUACCGGGAGAAUAAGCACCGGCUAACUCCGUG